GAUGAACGCUGGCGGCGUGCCUAAUACAUGCAAGUCGAGCGAACAGAUGAGGAGCUUGCUCCUCUGACGUUAGCGGCGGACGGGUGAGUAACACGUGGAUAACCUACCUAUAAGACUGGGAUAACUUCGGGAAACCGGAGCUAAUACCGGAUAAUAUAUUGAACCGCAUGGUUCAAUAUUGAAAGACGGGUUUGCUGUCACUUAUAGAUGGAUCCGCGCCGCAUUAGCUAGUUGGUAAGGUAACGGCUUACCAAGGCACCGAUGCGUAGCCGACCUGAGAGGGUGCUCGGCCACACUGGAACUGCGACACGGUCCAGACUCCUACGGGAGGCAGCAGUAGGGAAUCUUCCGCAAUGGGCGAAAGCCUGACGGAGCAACGCCGCGUGAGUGAUGACGGUCUUCGGAUCGUACAACUCUGUUAUCAGGGAAGAACAAAUGUGUAAGUAACUAUGCACGUCUUGACGGUACCUAAUCAGAAAGCCACGGCUAACUCCGUG
rnacentral:rRNA from 1 species